GCGGAUGACUUUUUGUCUUACGACACGGCAUGGUAAUUGAUUGAGUGCGCUUUCCUUUCUCAAUGGCACAGCAAAAGCACCAUAUUUCGGGUUUGGAUAUCAUAGGAAAUGGGGCACUAUAGAAAGGUUUUCCAAGUGAACACCCGAUGCUACGUCAAAAGCAUGAAUUUUAGCUGUCGAAUGAAACUACUAAAUACUAAAUGUAGGAAUUCCAACUGGAAAAUUCACGAACCAAGGUUCCGCGUAUCACGUUUUUUCAAGAAGAUUGGGACUCUCAGGGAAUAGAGCCAAUCGUAGUAGUAUAUACCCUAUCCAUAUAAGGCAUCUUCCGGGCCAGAGGCCCCCCUUCUCUUG
rnacentral:lncRNA from 1 species